ACGGAAGGCAGCAGUGAGGAAUAUUGGUCAAUGGGCGAGAGCCUGAACCAGCCAAGUAGCGUGAAGGAUGACUGCCCUAUGGGUUGUAAACUUCUUUUGUUCGGGAAUAAAGGAGCCUACGCGUAGGCUUUUGCAUGUACCGUUCGAAUAAGCAUCGGCUAAUUCCGUGCCAGCAGCCGCGGUAAUACGGAAGAUGCGAGCGUUAUCCGGAUUUAUUGGGUUUAAAGGGAGCGUAGGCGGCCUUUUAAGUCAGCGGUCAAAUGUCAGCGCCCAACGCUGGCCUGCCGUUGAUACUGAUGGGCUUGAAUACACACAAGGAAGGUGGAAUUCGUCGUGUAGCGGUGAAAUGCUUAGAUAUGACGAAGAACUCCGAUUGGGAAGCCAGCUUACUGUAGCGCCACUGACGCUGAUGCUCGAAAGCGUGGGUAUCGAACAGGAUUAGAUACCCUGGUA
rnacentral:rRNA from 1 species